UACGUAGGGGGCAAGCGUUGUCCGGACUCAUUGGGCGUAAAGAGCGUGUAGGCGGCUUGGGAAGUCCGCUGUGAAAGUCCAGGGCUCAACCCUGGAAUGCCGGUGGAAACUGUCAAGCUUGAGUCCGGAAGAGGCGAGUGGAAUUCCUGGUAUAGCGGUGAAAUGCGCAGAUAUCAGGAGGAACACCAAUGGCGAAGGCAGCUCGCUGGGACGGUACUGACGCUGAGACGCGAAAGCGUGGGGAGCAAACAGG
rnacentral:rRNA from 1 species